AAAAUAAAAAGUUUGUCACGAGCAUGUGGUUAUCAUCAGUUGCACGGAAAACGAAGUGCGGAAAUCAUUCAGUGUCUAAACUGUUUUCUUUAAAAUAUACUUCCCGCCAAAGGGAAGAAGAAAACGAUGUUUUGCGGUGUUGAACGGACCCCGUUAUGUCAUCUUAUUCAUUGCCAUUUUAACAAAUGCUAAACGGCUCUAAAACGCGUUAAAGCAGUUUGUUAAAACAGAAGCAGGUGAUGGACGUAACCUCGUUCGGUAAUUAGCUAAUUAUCAGACAAGGAAGGGCCGAGACAACAAUCUGCAGCCGAGAUUAUCGAGAACGCUCGUCAUGCAAAAACAGGUGACAUUUUUUUUUUUUUGUCUUUGAAGUUCGUGAUUUUUUUUAAAUUCAGAUUGUAUGGCAGUUGAUGUGGUAAUCAACUUGUCACCUUGAUCUUUUUUUUCUCUUUCAAAUGGAAAGAAGGAAGGGAAAACAGUUUUAAAUAGUUCCCAUAAUAUUGAACCCAUUUUGCGUGCCAUAGUAUUCCAUGACAGAAGACAGUUAGCCGACUGCGUUUAUUGUUUCGUUGUUGGGGAGUAUUCAUACCAUAUUAGGGCAACCGCAAAAUGAGGAAAUCGUGUACAGUAGAUAAACGGAUGAUAACUGAAAUGCAAUUCUUUCGCUAUGUAUAUGCUGAACAUCAAUAGGAGGAGGUUCAUUGAGGGGGCAUUUACCGUACUAAUAAUGUCAAUUCUUUCAUCCGUGUUGUACUAAAAA